rnacentral:rRNA from 1 species
CUUGGUGACAAUAGCGUUUUGGACCCACCUGACCCCAUGCCGAACUCAGUAGUGAAACGAAACAGCGCCGAUGAUAGUGUAGCAG